UACGAAGGGGGCUAGCGUUGCUCGGAAUCACUGGGCGUAAAGGGUGCGUAGGCGGGUCUUAAGUCAGAGGUGAAAUCCUGGAGCUCAACUCCAGAACUGCCUUUGAUACUGAGAAGCUUGAGUCCGGGAGAGGUGAGUGGAACUGCGAGUGUAGAGGUGAAAUUCGUAGAUAUUCGCAAGAACACCAGUGGCGAAGGCGGCUCACUGGCCCGGUACUGACGCUGAGGUGCGAAAGCGUGGGAGCAAACAGGG
rnacentral:rRNA from 1 species